UUUGGUGGAGAGAAGGAAGAGCUGUUUCAUCCGAGGAUCAAUAUAAAGAGUUGACUCUUCAGUGGAAGUUUUAGUCUGGCAGCAGAGAGAUAAAAGACAUUCUACCAACACUGAUUUGCUGAUAUGAUGAAAUAAUGAAAAUAUGGAGUUCCUUGGGCAGCUCCUAUAAGAUAAGAAAAAACUUGUUGACCCUUCUUCUUGAGAACUAUGGAGGCGUAUUCCAUGGCUCUGGAGCGAGUUUCAGUGUUGAGAUCCUGGCUGUGUCACCGAGUAGCUGUGGGACAUUGGACAUGGUGCUCAACCUUUCAGCAUGACAGGUUCCUCCUUUUGUAAAGUGGGAUGAUAUUUACCUCUUAAAGUUUUCCAAAUUAAGUGUACUAGUGCAUGUUAAUCUCUUAAUAUUUGGGUGAUUCAUUGUGAGUACUUAGUAAAUGUAAGCUACAGUUAUUUUUUAUCAUCAUUAUUUGUAUUUUACCAUUAUUAAGCUUUAAGUUAUUUCUUUACGUAGUCAAAUUCAUGAUCCUUAAUGUUGGGGGAAGAAUGGAAGCAGCUAUUCGUUGAAUUAGACUUUGUAUCGGUAUCAAAUAUUUGUAUUUACUCAGUAUCAUGCAAGCUAUUCACAGUUGCCUGGUCUAUUGCCUGUCUCUCCACUUACAUGGAGAAACCCAACAUUUUCCAAUCAGUAUAAAUUGUUUUUCAGUAUGUUUCUUUAUCAACUUCUUAUAGUAAGUCAUUUCCUUGAAAUGAAUGAGUUCAUUAAUGGAUUAUUAUAAGCAUGACCAUGUCAGCUUCUGUGAUUUCCUCCUAUCCAGUGUGUGUGUAUAUAUAUAUAUAUAUAUAUAUAUAUAUUUUUUUUUUUUUUUUCUAAUGGGGUAGGAGAUAUAAAGGACAAAAAGAGCCGUGAGGGAUGUGUGGUCUGACGUACUAGGAAGUGGAAUGAAAUUUCAGCCCCUGUGGUCCUUUAGGAGGUCAAAGAGCGAGCUGCAGACACAGUGGUUCUGCUGAGCUGUUUGUGGCUUUCAGCGAAGCUGCUAAUGGAAUAAUGAUAGUUUCUGACAUAAAGCAGAAGGUGUUCUAUUUUUAGGCAAGAGGAGUUAUGCACCAGAGACAAUCCAGACACAUUCUUAUCUUACAGGAUACUGAAAAAUGCCCAUACUUUCCUAACACCCUGUUGCCAUAUAUAAGAUAAUGAUCUCUGGAAAGGAGCUCUACUGACAGUCCUAAUAAUACCACCAUUGAUCAAGCAUUUACUGUGUAUCUGGAACUGUGCAAAACACAUUAUCCCCAUGAAUUCUGACAACAAUCCAUUGAGGAGACACUAGUAUUGUUCCCAUUUUACAGGUGAAAUUGCUACUCAGAGGAGUACCAUUUUGCAUGUGAAUAGCAGAGCUUGUUUCAAGUCCAUUUCUGGUUGACUUGAAAUUCCAAGCACAAUUGGAAAGGUAAAAUGGGAUAUAAUUAGUUUAAACUGUCAGCUCUCAAAUCAAAUUAGAAAAACGAUCCCCUAGCCUUUCAUUAUUUGCAAGGCAUUUUACUCUCUAGUUCACAAACUGGAAAUGAAUAAAAGCAGCCACUUUAGAAUGUGAUAAUAUUCC
rnacentral:lncRNA from 1 species